CCUACGUGAGGCAGCAGUGGGGAAUAUUGCACAAUGGGGGAAACCCUGAUGCAGCGACGCCGCGUGAGUGCAGAAGUAUUUCGGUAUGUAACGCUCUAUCAGCCGGGAGGAAAAUGACUGUACCUGACUAAGAAGCCCCGGCUAACUACGUGCCAGCAGACGCGGUAAUACGUAGGGGGCAAGCGUUAUCCGUAUUUACUUGGUGUAAAGGGAGCGUAGACGGCAGAGCAAGUCUGAAGUGAAAGCCCGAGGCCCAACUGCGGGACUGCUUUGGAAACUGCCCGGCUAGCGUGCUGGAGCGGUAAGCGGAAUUCCUAGUGUAGCGGUGAAAUGCGUAGAUAUUAGGAGGAACACCAGUGGCGAAGGCGGCUUACUGGACAGUAACUGACGUUGAGGCUCGAAAGCGUGGGGAGCAAACAGGAGUAGAUACCCCUGUAGUC
rnacentral:rRNA from 1 species